GGGUCCCCAGCCCCCAUGGGGGAUACAGCCUCCAUCCAGAAGCCGUCCGUCUUCCCCUUGCACUCCUGCUGCAGCGAGCCCACCUCCGUGUCGCUGGGCUGCCUGGUCACAGGCUACUUCCCAGAGCCAGUGACUGUGACCUGGGACACAGGCUCCCUGAAUGUGAGCACCCUGAACUUCCCCACCGCCAAACUCAGCUCCGGCCUCCUGGCCAGAACCAGCCAGGUGACCGUGUCCAGCACAGAGGAGUGGGCCAGGAGGAAUUUCACCUGCAGCGUGGGCCAUGCUCCAUCGUCGACAUCCCAGGUCAACAAGACCGUCCAAGGUUGCUUGCUCUCCAACUUCACCGGCCUCGAUGUGACGCUCUUCCACUCAUCCUGUGACCCCAGUGGAUCUCACUCCAUCAUCCAGCUCUAUUGCCUCAUUUCUGGCUACACCCCGGGUGACCUCGUGGUCACUUGGCUGAAGGACAAGAAGACACUCUUAAAAACGGCCUCAUCCAUUGCCCCACCCACGCAGGAAGGCAAGCUGGCCUCCACCCACAGCAAGAUCAACAUCACCCAGGAAGACUGGAUGUCAGAGAGCAUCUUCACGUGCCAGGUCACAACCCACGGCUCCAACUACCAGGCCCAUGCCCAGAAGUGCACAGGUGACGAGCCACGAGGGAUAAUUACCUACCUGAUCCCGCCCAGCCCUCUGGACCUGUACGUCCGCACAGCGCCCAAGCUCACCUGUCUGGUGGUAGACCUGGAAAGCAAAGAGGGCGUGACAGUGGUCUGGACCCGGGACAGCCAGAAGCCAGUGACCUCCGACCCCUGGGAGGCCAACAAGCAGCUCAACGCUACAUUCAGCAUCGUCUCCACCCUGCCAGUGGACGCCAAGGACUGGAUCGAUGGCGAAACCUACCGCUGCACGGUGACACACCCUGAGCUGCCCAAGCCCAUCGUUCGGUCCAUCACCAAGGCCCCCGGCAAGCGCAUGGCCCCCGAGGUCUACGUGUUCCUGCCACCUGAGGAGCAAGGGAGCCAGGACAAGCUCACCCUCACCUGCCUGGUCCAGAACUUCUUCCCCGUGGACAUCUCGGUGCAGUGGCUUCGCAACGGGCAGAUCCACAAUGACCAGCACAGCACCACAGCGCCCCUCAAGACCAACACCUCCCACCCCUCCUUCUUCAUCUUCAGCCGCCUAGAGAUCACCCAGGCAGACUGGGCGCUGAAUACCAAGUUCACCUGCCGCGUGGUCCACGAGGCACUUCCUGGCCGGAGAACCCUCGAGAAAACCGUGUUCAAGAGCCCUGAGCUAGACCUGCAGGACCUGUGCACAGAGGAGCUGGAGAGUGCCGAGCUGGAUGGGCUGUGGACCAGCACCUGUGUUUUCAUCUCCCUGUUCCUGCUCAGUGUGAGCUACGGUGCCACCAUCACCCUCUUCAAGAGCUGCGGAGCACACCCCAGGCCCUGCACGACUACGCCAACAUCCUCCAUCCGGGGGCCUAGCCAGGACACCCCGCCACGCAGCCGGGCCUCCGCGUCUGAGCCUCCUGGGGCUGCGGCUCUGCCCAGGUGGGAUGAGGGAGCAGACCCACCCUGUCAGGGCCAGGGCUGGGGCCCAAGUACCAGCGCACCAGAGUCCAGAACGUUCCUCAGCCCCAAGGUUCCCCAAGACAGCCCAUCAAUCACAGACCUCACCCACUCUGAGACCAGCCCAGAACAGCGUCUGGCCCUUCGGCAGAGGGCUCCUGGCCGCAGGAUGGGCGCUGACCGCCGGGACUCACCCAGGCCCACAGUCCUCAGGAUGGCCCCCAACAACCAGAAAACGCACUGAGGCCCAGAGCCAUGGUCCCCACCACGGGAGGCAGCCAGCCCAGUCCCCUGGGCUGGGCAGAGGGGUCCCACAGCCUGGAGAGGGGUCCCCUCCUGCCCACAGCCUCGUCCACCUCCACCUGGCAGUCCUGUUCCCACCCAGGCUUCUCAGUAAAGCUCCUUCCAUGGC